AAUGAAUCUAAUGGACUUCAAAAUAGUUAUAUAUGUGUAUGAAGUAGGAUUGGUUGUGAAUCAAUUUUGCCCAUUUUACAUCGGUAACAUCAGGAUAUGGUUUUUAACCAAUAAGUGGGUGGAGCCGACUCCAUUUCAAAUUUUGUAUACUAAUUUGAAUGAGGCUCUUCUGUGUCAUCUUUACCAUGAAAUUUAAGGUUUCUGGUUGUUUUCCUUACAGAAUUAAAGCAUUUUUAGUAGUUUUUGUAUUGGAGGUAGGCGUGAUUAUGAUCGAUUACCUCCAUUUUUAGACUGUAUAAGAAAGUGCCUAAAGGAAACGACUCCAGAGAGUUUGGUUGACAUAGCUUUAGCAGUUUACGAGAUAUGUACAACAAAUUUAGUAGGGGUCGGUGCAACGGCCACUUUCCCAAAAAACGGACGGAUGGAUGGACAGACAGACAUCCAGAUUUUAAAUCUACUUUUCGCCCUGAUAUCUUUGGUAUAUACAGUGGAACUUCUCUAACUCGAAUCACCAUAAUCCACCAAAAAUCUUCGAUUUAUGCAAUCCAUAAGUGUAAUAUCAUAUUUUUUGGUCGCCUCCAUACGAUAUAGAGAGUCAGUCUCUCUGUGAUUCUUCGUCGAUAGUAAAAUUUUUCAUUUUGUAUUAUGCCUUGGUCGAAAAGUUCGAUUUAUGGAAGGAAAUUUUUAUGUAAUUUGAGUUCUACUGCCAAUUCAAGAGUUCGAGUUAUGGAGAACUUCGAGUUAUAGAAGUUCAAGUUAUGGAAGGAAAUUUGUAUGGAUUUUGAUUUCUUAACGCUAUUGCCAAUUCAAAAGUCCGAGUUAUAGAGAUCUUCGAGUUAUGGAAGUUCCACUGUACUUAUAACCCUAUAUCUAACUUGUUUAGUUUUAGGUGAUACAAACAAACGUUAUAUGAACAAAUAUAUUAUACUCUCUUUGCAACUUGUUGCGAAGGAAUAAAUACUCCCUCGGAAUUCUAUAAAAUAUCUGAUAAGUUUAAAGAUAUUUUUCUGUAAAUAAUUAUCCAUUAGCACUGAGGCCCUCAUUUUCGGUGUCUGGGAAGAAGAAAAUAAAAAAAUAAGAAAAUAGUAUGUACUAAAUUAUGUUAAAUUUGGUUGAAUAGCUCCAGAAUAUGGCGUUUGAUUUAAAAGUGAGCGGUGCCACACGCAUUGUCCAAAUUAAAUACCAAUUUUUGUUCAGUUUUUUUCAUCACCUUUUCUGUAAAAAUUAGUGUUACUGGGGUUUUUUUGUUUAGUGAGAUAACGCACUUUAAGUAGUUUUCAACAUAACCUUUGUAUGAGGUAGUUUCUGAUUUCAAAUAAUGUACGGCAAAUUUGUCGAGUAAGUUUGGUUUAUUAGCUGUAGAAGUGUGCGAGAUAUGUUAAAAUAUAAAAUAUUUAAACAAUAGUAAAAAAAUCCAUGGUUUUUGCAUGAAAUUGAAGCGGAUUUAUGUCAAAUAUGUAUGUACCGCUUUGUUCGAAAACUUGUUGAGCUAAAUAAUUACAUAAUGCCGCUCUCAAAGAAAGCCUCGUGGGAGAGUCAGAUUUUUAAACGUUUCUCUUUAGGCGAACUUUUCAGAGGCAACAUCAUUCGCCAUAAACAUAUGUGCAUAUAUUACAUAUAGUGACUCCACCUUCGUAUUUACAUACUAACGGAAUUUUUGGCAUCGGCAUCGAGCAAAAAUUGGAAUCGGUCGGACACCGAUCUUUUAUAUACUCUAUUAACUUCAUUUUGAGGGGGAAUGGGAAAUGUUGACAAUCUGCAAUACCUUCUUAGGCGCCAAGGAAGAUAUUUCAAGAGAAAUAUGAUGUUUAGACGAGCGAUGUCAUAUCUCGAAUGCACUAUUUGCGUUAAGUUUUAUACCAAAAUCUUCACGUAGACGAGCGGUAUGACGAUAAGCCGUUCUCAAGACAAUCGAUUCUACGUAACCGGAACCCGGAUUUUAUCUGCCCACAAGGACUGUCAAAUCGGCAGCAUUCCUUAACAUUUGAGGAAUAUAUUAGCUGCUACAACGUUACGGCAAAUCUGCUCCAGAGCAACAUACAAGCACUCAUGAUUUAUCGCCACAAAUUCAGAUGCACCACGCCCUUUUUCGGCCAGGUUCUGUAAAGUCGGCAGAAUUCCUAAAAAUAUUUGCUACAAAUACAACAAACAUGUCGACUCUCAUAUGCAGAUUUGUGACUAUGGCUGAAGUAUGUAUACAUCAUUACCAGUUAGUAGCCCGGCAAUGUUUUAGUCAGUAUUUUUGGGAUGCAUGGGAAUAUUUUCAUUGGACAUCAAGAUUAAAGUUAGGUACAACUAAACCUAAAAAUUAUUGAUCCAAACCGGAUUAGAUCGUUGAAAUAACAGCACUUGGCCGGCCAAAAUCCAUUUCGAUAACGUAAAACCGGCUGUUGUAAGAAUCGGAAUGAGUUCCCCCCCGAUACUAGCCACCUCUUUGCAUGCCUAACGAAUCCGACUAAUCUAACACCCCUCUCCCUUUGGUUCGACCCUCUCGAAACAGCACGUUUCCUGGAAGAGAUAUCGUUAGUGAAACUACAACACCUUUUGAAAUACGCGUUAAGUGCGGGCAUCCUAAAGGAUGCCUACUUCUCCUUGACUACUUGACGGCGCUCCAUCUGGUAUCGCAAAUGACCAUAAUCGGACUAUGCGUUGGCUUACCAGAUUAACCUAACUUCAACUUAGACCAAAAGGCCAUGUUAUAUACUUCGAGGUUUCAUAACGCUUGUUGAAGGGUGAUUUUUAUUCGGAAAAAGUAUUUGAAAAUACCAAAAAGAGUACGCAAGAUAAAGUAAGUAAAAGAGUAAGAGCUUUUAUAUUUCUCCCAUUUAUUACACAUACAGAUGAAUGUUCGUUAUUAAUUCAAUAUUUAUUGUAUUGUAAACAUACGUGUCUUUUGGAAUCGAAUACUAGUAGCAUGGAUGAAUACGCUCUAAAACACAUUCUAAAAAUUAUUAUUUUUUAUUAUGUUUGAAUAACUAUUGUUUGAUAAAAGUUGACAUUGAGAUUUGAUAUUUCAAAAUGUAUAUUGAUAUUUAUUGUAUGUAUGUAUGCUUAUGGUUUGAUCAUGGAUAUCAUGAACUACUAUUGGAUACUAUUGGAAUAUGUGUUUAUAAUUGAAGACUAUUGUUAUUGUUGAGCAAAAUGCAAAAUGCAAAAUGAUUUCUGAAUCACCCAAAUGCCAUGUGCUCUACAACAUUUUCUACGCAGUCGCAUACAUUAAUUGUAAACACGAACGUUGGUAUUAUCUCGUACGUGUUUAUUAUUAAAUUUUUGCAAUUUUUUCGCAGUUGGGUAUGCAUAUUUCAUUUGAAAGCUUCUUAUCUUUACAAUUGAAUAUAAUCGUAAUAAUGCUUUUCAAAAUUUUAUUGCAUUAAAUUGGUAUGAGUUAAUUAUCUCGGGAUGAUGAUUGAAAAUAUUUAUAAAUCGUUUUCUGAUUAAUGUGCAAUUCAAACUCUCAUUAAUCCUUGUUUUAAAUUCCCAUACAAUGAUAAACCUUUACCAUUAUAUAAGUUUUGUGAAGUAAAUUGAAAUGUUUGAAGUUUAAAAAAUUUAUAUAAAGUUGAUAAAUCUAAUUCCGAUUUAUGUUGAUGUCUGCAAUUAUUGUUUGAUGAGUCGCAUAAACUCAGCAUGGAUGUUGUAGAGCAUUUAAAUUGGCAAUUUGUCGUCAGCUAUGUAUGUAUGUAUCUGAUUAUUGCAAGUGUAUUACUUAAAUGCUUCAAACAAUUCUUUA